rnacentral:rRNA from 1 species
UUCGCAAUGCCCGAAAGGGUGACGAAGCGACGCCGCGUGCGGGAAGAAGGCCUUCGGGUUGUAAACCGCUGUCGGGAGUUAAGAAAUGUAAGGAUGUCAAUAGCAUCUUUGCUUGACUAAGGCUCCGGAGGAAGCCACGGCUAACUCUGUGCCAGCAGUCGCGGUAAUACAGAGGCGGCAAGCGUUGUUCGGAAUUAUUGGGCGUAAAGAGCACGUAGGCGGCUAUGUAAGUCGGUUGUGAAAGCCUUCCGCUCAACGGGAGAACAGCAUCCGAUACUGCAUGGCUUGAGUGCGGGAGGGGAGAGUGGAACUUCUGGUGGAGCGGUGAAAUGCGUAGAUAUCAGAAGGAACGCCGGCGGCGAAAGCGGCUCUCUGGCCCAUAACUGACGCUGAGUGUGCGAAAGCUAGGGGAGCAAACGGGAUUAGAUACCCCGGUAGUCCUAGCCGUAAACGAUGGGCACUAAGUAGAGGGGUUUU